CACGUAGGGCGCAAGCGUUGUCCGGAAUUAUUGGGCGUAAAGAGCUCGUAGGCGGCUUGUCGCGUCAACUGUGAAAACCCGUGGCUCAACCAUGUGGUCUGCAGUCGAUACGGGCAGGCUAGAAUUCGGUAGGGGAGACUGGAAUUCCUGGUGUAGCGGUGAAAUGCGCAGAUAUCAGGAGGAACACCGGUGGCGAAGGCGGGUCUCUGGGCCGAUAUUGACGCUGAGGAGCGAAAGCGUGGGGAGCGAACAGG
rnacentral:rRNA from 1 species